rnacentral:rRNA from 1 species
UACGUAGGGUGCGAGCGUUGUCCGGAAUUAUUGGGCGUAAAGGGCUCGUAGGCGGUUUGUCGCGUCGGGAGUGAAAACCCAGGGCUUAACUCUGGGCUUGCUUUCGAUACGGGCAGACUAGAGGUAUGCAGGGGAGAACGGAAUUCCUGGUGUAGCGGUGAAAUGCGCAGAUAUCAGGAGGAACACCGGUGGCGAAGGCGGUUCUCUGGGCCUGUACUGACGCUGAGGAACGAAAGCGUGGGGAGCGAACAGG